rnacentral:rRNA from 1 species
AUUGAACGCUGGCGGCAUGCCUUACACAUGCAAGUCGAACGGCAGCACGGGAGCUUGCUCCUGGUGGCGAGUGGCGAACGGGUGAGUAAUACAUCGGAACGUACCCUGAAGUGGGGGAUAACGUAGCGAAAGUUACGCUAAUACCGCAUAUUCUGUGAGCAGGAAAGAGGGGGAUCGCAAGACCUCUUGCUUUAGGAGCGGCCGAUGUCGGAUUAGCUAGUCGGUGAGGUAAAGGCUCACCAAGGCGACGAUCCGUAGCGGGUCUGAGAGGAUGAUCCGCCACACUGGGACUGAGACACGGCCCAGACUCCUACGGGAGGCAGCAGUGGGGAAUUUUGGGACAAUGGGCGCAAGCCUGAUCCAGCCAUGCCGCGUGAGUGAAGAAGGCCUUCGGGUUGUAAAGACUCUUCGGUGGGGUAAGGAAAGUUAGACACAGGAGUAAUACCUUGUGUAG